rnacentral:lncRNA from 1 species
CCCGAACCGCACGAUGAGCAUAGACUUUCCCUGCCCGGCCGGCCUACAGAGGAAAAGCCCCGAGAAGUACUGCUGCACGCCGUUCUUGUCGACAAACUCCAAGUCGUUCGAGAGAACGCAAGGCGCCUGGUGUUACAUGUAAAACAUUAAAACAUUGUUCUCCGAUAGCUUAAGUUAUGGUAUCAACGGUUGGGUCUUUUAGUGCUCUACUCUCUCUAACAUGAGUACUGUUGAAGGUAUCAAACGGAAACACUGAGCUAUUUUUUCGCACCUGGAACCGAAGGAAGUUCAUCAGCGCGGGGUUUCAAGACCGGCCCCACCGGCCGGCGAAGCCUCGGUGGUUGCGCUCGACGACGGUGAAUAGGAGCGGCU